rnacentral:rRNA from 1 species
AUUGAACGCUGGCGGCAGGCUUAACACAUGCAAGUCGAGCGGGGGAAGGUAGCUUGCUACCGGACCUAGCGGCGGACGGGUGAGUAAUGCUUAGGAAUCUGCCUAUUAGUGGGGGACAACAUCUCGAAAGGGAUGCUAAUACCGCAUACGUCCUACGGGAGAAAGCAGGGGAUCUUCGGACCUUGCGCUAAUAGAUGAGCCUAAGUCAGAUUAGCUAGUUGGUGGGGUAAAGGCCUACCAAGGCGACGAUCUGUAGCGGGUCUGAGAGGAUGAUCCGCCACACUGGGACCGGGACACGGCCCAGACUCCUACGGGAGGCAGCAGUGGGGAAUAUUGGACAAUGGGGGGAACCCUGAUCCAGCCAUGCCGCGUGUGUGAAGAAGGCCUUAUGGUUGUAAAGCACUUUAAGCGAGGAGGAGGCUACUUUAGUUAAUACCUAGAGAUAGUGGACGUUACUCGCAGAAUAAGCACCGGCUAACUCUGUGCCAGCCGCCGCCGUAA